rnacentral:tRNA from 2 species
CGGGACGUGGCUCAGUCAGGUAGAGCACACGACUGGGGGUCGUGGGGUCGCUGGUUCAAAUCCAGUCGUCCCGA